GUCUUUAUUUGUCUUUUACCCUUGUGAAAAGGUAAAAAAUAAUAAACAAUAAAAUUACAACAGUACAAUACAGUUCACAGUGAAUAAAAAAAGGCGUUCCUUGUUCUUGCGAAUAAAAAACAGCCUUUUUUCACUUUGAUCAAUUAAUGAUCCUUCCGCAGGUUCACCUACGGAAA
rnacentral:misc_RNA from 1 species